rnacentral:lncRNA from 1 species
AUUUAAUUUAUUAACAAUUACAGUAGAGUAGUAUAGUGAGAAACAAAAAGCAAACUGAAACUACUUUCCUUUCAACUCUUCUCCCCAUCCUGCUCAGGCUCCUUAUCUUCUUCACUCUCAAAUCCUCAAAUCUCCCUCUUGAAGAGAUGGUGGGGAUAGGCAGUGGGGGCUGCAGCUGGUUCAUGAUGCCAUGUGUCUACCAUCCUUCCUCCUCACCCUCCUCCCCUGCUGCAGCCUGGGGUCCCUCCCACUGAGCACAGUCCUUCACAAACUGCUCCACAUGGAACACAGUCCUUCACAAACUGCUCCACAUGGAACACUCCUUCACAAACUGCUCCAGCCUGGAACACAGUCCUUCACAAACUGCUCCACAUGGAACACAGUCCUUCACAAACUGCUCCACAUGGAACACAGUCCUUCACAAACUGCUCCACAUGGAACACAGUCCUUCACAAACUGCUCCAACAUGGAACACUGUCCUUCACAAACUGCUCCACAUGGAACACAGUCCUUCACAAACUGCUCCACAUGGAACACAGUCCUUCACAAACUGCUCCACAUGGAACACAGUCCUUCACAAACUGCUCCACAUGGAACACAGUCCUUCACAAACUGCUCCACAUGGAACACUGUCCUUCACAAACUGCUCCACAUGGAACACAGUCCUUCACAAACUGCUCCACAUGGAACACAGUCCUUCACAAACUGCUCCACAUGGAACACAGUCCUUCACAAACUGCUCCACAUGGAACACAGUCCUUCACAAACUGCUCCAGCCUGGAACACAGUCCUUCACAAACUGAUCCAACAAGGAACACAGUCCUUCACAAACUGCUCCACAUGGGUCCCUCCAUGGAGCAUACUCCUUCAAGAGCAGACUGCUCCAGCAUGAGUCCCCUAUGGAUCACAGAUCUUGCCAGCAAACCUGCUCGCGCGUGGGAACCUCUCCACGGGCUGCAGCUCCCUUCAGGACAUAUCCACUCACUGUGGCAUGAAUUCCCCCAUGGUCUGG